GUUGACCUUGGUUAUAGCGCCUUCACCCUCCUCCUCCUCCUCCUCCUGGCCGCCGUCCCAGGGCUGCGGGCGGCCACGUUGGACGAGUCCGGAGGGGGCCGUGUGAAGCCCGGGGGGUCCCUGACCCUGGUCUGCAAGGGCUCCGGAUACACCUUCAGCAGCUACACCAUGUUUUGGGUGCGACAGGCACCAGGGAAGGGGCUCGAGUGGGUUGCGGGUAUUAGCUACAGUGGUGGUACCACAAGAUACGCGUCGGCGGUGCAGGGACGCUUCACCAUCUCCAGGAACAACGGGCAGAGCACGGCCACCCUGCAGAUGAACAGCCUCAAGGCCGAAGACACCGCCACCUACUACUGCGCGAGAGAUGAUGCUGGUAGUGCUUGGAGUGGUGAUAGUGCUGCUGGUGUUGAUGGCCGACAACAUUAACGUCACCAAGGCCACCAUGAG